rnacentral:rRNA from 1 species
GUGAGGAAUAUUGGUCAAUGGACGAGAGUCUGAACCAGCCAAGUCGCGUGAAGGAAGACGGUUCUAUGAAUUGUAAACUUCUUUUGUGCAGGAAUAAAGUGGGUUACGUGUAACCUUUUGUAUGUACUGUACGAAUAAGGAUCGGCUAACUCCGUGCCAGCAGCCGCGGUAAUACGGAGGUUCCGAGCGUUAUCCGGAUUUAUUGGGUUUAAAGGGUGCGUAGGUGGAUUGAUAAGUCAGCGGUGAAAGUUUGCAGCUUAACUGUAAAAUUGCCGUUGAAACUGUCGGUCUUGAGUGCAAAUGAGGUAGGCGGAAUGUGUUGUGUAGCGGUGAAAUGCUUAGAUAUAACACAGAACUCCGAUUGCGAAGGCAGCUUACUGGGAUGCAACUGACACUGAUGCACGAAAGCGUGGGUAUCAAACAGGAUUAGAUACCCUGGUAGUCC